rnacentral:rRNA from 1 species
GACGAACGCUGGCGGCGUGCUUAACACAUGCAAGUCGAACGGAAAGGCCCCUUCGGGGGUACUCGAGUGGCGACCGGGUGCGUAACACGUGAGUAACCUGCCCUUGACUUCGGGAUAACUUCAGGAAACUGGGGCUAAUACCGGAUAGGAAUCCUUGCUGCAUGGUGGGGGUUGGAAAGCUUCGGCGGUUUUGGAUGGACUCGCGGCUUAUCAGCUUGUUGGUGGGGUAGUGGCUUACCAAGGCUUUGACGGGUAGCCGGCCUGAGAGGGCGACCGGCCACAUUGGGACUGAGAUGCGGCCCAGACUCCUACGGGAGGCAGCAGUGGGGAAUAUUGCACAAUGGGCGGAAGCCUGAUGCAGCAACGCCGCGUGCGGGAUGACGGCCUUCGGGUUGUAAACCGCUUUCAGCAGGGGCGAAGCUUGUGGUGACGGUACCUGCAGAAGAAGCACCGGCUAACUACGUG